CCAGAUUGCUGUAUCCAGAUGCGUGAGAAGAACCUGCUGCCUCCUCCUCAGUUUGAUUUCUUUACGGUGUAUUUUUUACAACUUGUUGGCGGCGCCAUAUCGGGACUUACACAACCAAGAAUCAAAGUGCUUUAGAGGUCUCAAGAUGCUCACCUGCCCCUGUGAAAUGCAGCGUGAAGUCCACUCUGUCUUACAUCUUGGAAAUACAGCCAACUGGAACAAGCAUCAGUAAUCUGCAAAAUCCUGAAGCCCAGACUGGAGAAAACCAACCCUGCCUUGUCAGCUUAGGACAUCCCAGCACAUCACCCCAAUAUGUCAUCUUGCCUAGAAGUGAUCGCGUUGCAAUUCCACUUCUGGAUGAGGGCCUAACGUGCAGUCUGGACAAACUGUUUGAACUGUAUUGGGUAUGCAACCUGGCCUAUCCUGUGCAACUUGCCUCAGUCUUUGGGUUCAUGCAGCAUGUUUAUGGCCUGCCGAUAACCUCUGGUGGGAAGAGGUCCAGAAUCAUGAAGCUUGCUGCAAAGCUCCAAGUACUGUGAGUGAAGUUGCCAUGUACAUUUGUCCAAAUGUGAGACAGAUCUGGACAAUUUUGACUGUACCACUGUGGACAAUGUGGACAUGUCUGUGUGUGAAAAUGUACUCCUCAUCAAACACUACACUGACUGACGUUCAAAAAAGUAUAACUUGCACCAAAGAGUUGCUUGUCAAAACACUGGACUGCUUAAAAGAAGAAAAAAUAUAUAUUUCUGUGCUUAAUAUGUACUGAAUUUGAAAGUAAAGAGGUGCUCAUGUUUCUCAGACUACUAACCGUUAAAUAUUUUGAAGAGCACCUCCACAGGUAAUAGAGAAGAAAGACAAAAUUUGAGAGAUGUUGCAGACAUUUUACUAAUUUAUUUAUUAACUUAUUUAUUUAAUAGUGAUUCUGAAAUCCACAUAAAUGAGAUAAAAAAAUGUCAUUGUAUGAUUAGUACCAUUACUAAUAAAAAAUGAUGGUACUGUA